GACGAACGCUGGCGGCGUGCCUAAUACAUGCAAGUUGAGCGCUGAAGGUUGGUACUUGUACCAACUGGAUGAGCAGCGAACGGGUGAGUAACGCGUGGGGAAUCUGCCUUUGAGCGGGGGACAACAUUUGGAAACGAAUGCUAAUACCGCAUAAAAACUUUAAACACAAGUUUUAAGUUUGAAAGAUGCAAUUGCAUCACUCAAAGAUGAUCCCGCGUUGUAUUAGCUAGUUGGUGAGGUAAAGGCUCACCAAGGCGAUGAUACAUAGCCGACUUGAGAGGGUGAUCGGCCACAUUGGGACUGAGACACGGCCCAAACUCCUACGGGAGGCAGCAGUAGGGAAUCUUCGGCAAUGGACGAAAGUCUGACCGAGCAACGCCGCGUGAGUGAAGAAGGUUUUCGGAUCGUAAAACUCUGUUGGUAGAGAAGAACGUUGGUGAGAGUGGAAAGCUCAUCAAGUGACGGUAACUACCCAGAAAGGGACGGCUAACUACGUG
rnacentral:rRNA from 1 species